rnacentral:rRNA from 1 species
AGACGAACCGUCCAAACGUUAUUCGGAAUUACUGGGCUUAAAGGGUGCGUAGGCGGCGCGGAAAGUUGGGUGUGAAAUACCUCGGCUCAACCGAGGAACUGCGCCCAAAACUUCCGUGCUCGAGGGAGAUAGAGGUGAGCGGAACUUAGGGUGGAGCGGUGAAAUGCGUUGAUAUCCUAAGGAACACCGGUGGCGAAGGCGGCUCACUGGAUCUCUUCUGACGCUGAGGCACGAAAGCUCGGGUAGCGAACGGGAUUAGAAACCCCGGUAGUCC